AAUACACGUCACUGACACCCGUUACAAUGGGAAGUACCAGUGGCGCUGCACCCUGGUGAACCCCCGCACAGCCAAGCCCUUGCAGGCGGGGGUCAUGCCCAAUUACAACAGGUAUCCAAGAAGGGCUCUGAGCGUGUGCGAUUGGUCAAGGCUGUGUCCCCCAGCUGUCGUGGGACUGGUUCCACCCCACAGGUCCUUUACACACUCAGCAACCGUCAUGAGGAGCACCUGAUUCCUUACAGUAUGGUCCAGCCAAUACAGGUCAAGACCAAACGGCCUGUCAUCUUCUCCCCCUCCUUGCUCUCUCGCGGCCUCAUAGAGAGACUGCUUCAGCCAGCAGAGUCUGGACUGGACUUCAACACCUGCCAACCAGAGCCAAUCCAGGCCACAGAGAGAAAUAUUAAGAGUGUUUUCCUGCUAGAUGCUUCCACCCCAGAGCAGGCUCUUGGAAUCAGUCUGCAGUCUAUUCAGGAUGUAAUAAGCCAGCGUCAUCCUUGUGAUAGAUCGUGACAGAAUGCAGAAGCCAUCACACGAAGCAUCGGGGAGUACUGGCGUUCUGGUUGGUAUAGUGGCAUCGGCUCUGGGUCACCACCGAUGGAACCGGGGGUGCCUAGCCUGCUCGUCGGGCUUCCACGCCCUAGCAGGCUCGAGAGGUUUCCUUGCCCGGGUUGGCUCGGAUGGCGCCCAUCCCACGUCGGGCCUCAGCUGGAUCGUCAGUUCUUGUCUGCCCAGCCGGUCCAGGAGUUUUUUGUUUGUUUGUUUUUUGUUUUGUCGGUGACGUCGGGGGUGGAUUCUGCCGCCGAUGGAACCGGGGGUGCCUAAGCCAGCCCGUCGAGCUUUCAUGCCCUGGCUGGCUCGAGAGGUUUCAUUGCCUCGGUUGGCUCGGUGGCUUCCCAUCCCACGUCACACUCCACCGGAUCAUCGGGUUUCCUCAGCGGGAUCGACAGGCGUCUUGACUCAGCCGGAUCGUCAGGCUCCCAUGCCUCAGCCGGCUCGCCAGGCUCUCACGCU